rnacentral:rRNA from 1 species
AUUGAACGCUGGCGGCAGGCCUAACACAUGCAAGUCGAGCGGAUGAAGGGAGCUUGCUCCUGGAUUCAGCGGCGGACGGGGGAGUAAUGCCUAGGAAUCUGCCUGGUAGUGGGGGAUAACGUCCGGAAACGGGCGCUAAUACCGCAUACGACCCGAGCGAGAAAGUGGGGGAUCUUCGGACCACACGCUAUCAGAUGAGCCUAGGUCGGAUUAGCUAGUUGGUGGGGUAAAGGCCUACCAAGGCGACGAUCCGUAACUGGUCUGAGAGGAUGAUCAGUCACACUGGAGCUGAGACACGGUCCAGACUCCUACGGGAGGCAGCAGUGGGGAAUAUUGGACAAUGGGCGAAAGCCUGAUCCAGCCAUGCCGCGUGUGUGAAGAAGGUCUUCGGAUUGUAAAGCACUUUAAGUUGGGAGUAAGGGCAGUAAGUUAAUACCUUGCUGUUUUGACGUUACCAACAGAAUAAGCACCGGCUACCUUCGU